GCGAUGCGGGGGGCCUACCGUGCAGUCGAGGGGUAACGGGGAGCUUGCGCCGCCGACGACCGGGGCACGGGUGCGCACCGCGUAUGGAACCUACCUUGUACAGGGGAAUAGCCCAGGGAAACUUGGAUUAAUGCCCCGUAGUACUAUUAUUCGGCAUCGUUUAAUAGUUAAAGAUUUCGGUCGGUACAAGAUGGCCAUGCGUCCCAUUAGCUUGUUGGUAAGGUAACGGCUUACCAAGGCUACGAUGGGUAGGGGCCCUGAGAGGGGGAUCCCCCACACUGGUACUGAGACACGGACCAGACUCCUACGGGAGGCAGCAGUGAGGAAUAUUGGACAAUGGAGGAGACUCUGAUCCAGCCAUGCCGCGUGCAGGAAGAAUGCCCUAUGGGUAGUAAACUGCUUUUAUACGGGAAGAAAAAGAGCUACGUGUAGCUUACUGACGGUACCGUAAGAAUAAGGACCGGCUAACUCCGUGCCAGCAGCCGCGGUAAUACGGAGGGUCCGAGCGUUAUCCGGAAUUAUUGGGUUUAAAGGGUCCGUAGGCGGGCCGAUAAGUCAGGGGUGAAAGUUUGCAGCUCAACUGUAAAAUUGCCUUUGAUACUGUUGGUCUUGAGUUAUAGUGAAGUUGCCGGAAUAUGUAGUGUAGCGGUGAAAUGCAUAGAUAUUACAUAGAACACCGAUUGCGAAGGCAGGUGACUAACUAUAUACUGACGCUGAUGGACGAAAGCGUGGGGAGCGAACAGGAUUAGAUACCCUGGUAGUCCACGCCGUAAACGAUGGAUACUAGCUGUCCGAGGCCUUGAGUCUUGGGCGGCCAAGCGAAAGUGAUAAGUAUCCCACCUGGGGAGUACGUUCGCAAGAAUGAAACUCAAAGGAAUUGACGGGGGCCCGCACAAGCGGUGGAGCAUGUGGUUUAAUUCGAUGAUACGCGAGGAACCUUACCAGGCUUAAAUGCAUAUUGACAGGUCUAGAGAUAGAUUUUCCUUCGGGCAAUUUGCAAGUGCUGCAUGGAUGUCGUCAGCUCGUGCCGUGAGUGUCAGGUUAAGUCCUAAUAACGAGCGCAACCCCUACCGUUAGUUGCCAGCAUGUCAUGAUGGGGACU
rnacentral:rRNA from 1 species